rnacentral:rRNA from 1 species
UGGGGAAUAUUGGGCAAUGGGCGAAAGCCUGACCCAGCAACGCCGCGUGAAGGAAGAAGGUCUUCGGAUUGUAAACUUCUUUUAUGAGGGACGAAGGACGUGACGGUACCUCAUGAAUAAGCCACGGCUAACUACGUGCCAGCAGCCGCGGUAAUACGUAGGUGGCAAGCGUUAUCCGGAUUUACUGGGUGUAAAGGGCGCGUAGGCGGGGAUGCAAGUCAGAUGUGAAAUCUAUGGGCUUAACCCAUAAACUGCAUUUGAAACUGUAUCUCUUGAGUGCUGGAGAGGUAGAUGGAAUUCCUUGUGUAGCGGUGAAA